CCUAAAACUCAUCCUCGGCUCCGACCCUCGAUGCUCACGCUACGGCUGGUGUCGACUCAUUUCUUGAAGCAGCCAUAGGCAGUGCCCUUCGCCUUAGAGAAAGGGCUCGAUGCGAUGUGCCGUGAUAGGGACAUGAACCCAAAACUAAUCGAGUCAAACGAUCUCUGUUUAACGUCGUAUCGGUUCUCAAGAUCGGCUUAAAGGCUUCCAAGUUUCGACGAGUUAACACGCGACCGUACCUAAGCGACGAAGGACCUUUUUCUUCGCCGGAUCUGCCUGUGUUCAUCUUCAAUUUCAUAUUUUGAUCCUUGUAUUUUGUUCUUUAUCUUGUACACCUGUGAUUCCAAUAUUUACCCCACAUCGUCGUUCCUUGCUCGCUACUCGCGCGCGCACGAGACGACGAACAACGAAAGUGAACGCGAGGAAGUUUCUUAUGCCAGUUCGAUCCACGAGAAGAUCCGAACGGACGAUCCGUUUUCAAUUCGUGGACAUUUGUUUCUCUCUUCUUCGUAACGACGAUAGAAAAGUGUGCCGUAACAAAGUAGAGACUUUCAUUCAUCGAUCGAAAUUAACGCGACGAGCGGAACGAAAGAACAGACGGAUUAAAAGGAAGGUGUAGCUUCGAAGUAACUUCCAGACUGUACUCCAUUUAUUUCAAUCUGUGGAGGGUCGCGAGGGAGUGCAUUGUAAGUCUUUGCCUUUCUCUAACGAUUGCUUUCAACAAUUUCGAUAAACGUUCGCGACUGGACAAUGGGUUUGGAUUUAGAUUCGGAUCGAUCGUUCGUUCGAUACGCAUGCUUUAUUUGCGCCAGUUAUCGAAGAAAGAAACUUACCUGUCGUUCCAUCCUAUAUUGUGAAAUUUUAUCGAUCGAGGCGCUCUCAAAGGUGUAUUCGAUCGUAAUAUCCAUUGUCCGAUCGAGGUACGAAUUAUUCUUCAAAGGUAGAUUUAACUAUAGCACGUAAGCAGAUAUAACCGAGAAACGUAUUGUUUUAUAGCGUAAAAAUUGUUAAUCCGCGAAGGUAGAGCUUGCUCGUUUCAUAAUCUGUUUCUAACGGGGAUAGAAAAAGACCGGUGUUUGUGAAUUUAAUCGUCAGUGCGGCGACGGCGGCGAUUCACGGUGUAGGCAAAGUGGGAUGAGACGUCCUCAGCAGGAACAUCACUACCAUCUCCACAACAAUCACCAUAAUAAUCAUCAUCAUCAUCACCACCACCACCACCACCAUCAUCACCACCAUCAUCAUGGAUCUUCGACGAGCCCAACGCGUACGCGACAACUUCACGACAAGGAUGAAUCCCGUUUGGCAAAAGUGAAACGCGUUUUGGCUAUCUCGUUGUUGGGACGUAACGGAGGAUCUACAAGAGUGUUUGGUAGUCGGUUGGACACGAUCGAGCCGUACCUUGACACCGGGGUACCUUUCGUGGUGCAUCGAUUGUGCAGUUACAUCGAGGCCCAUGGAUUUCAAAGUGCAGCCGUGUUUCGCCUUUCUGGUGGGAGUCCUAGGCUGGCUGAGAGACUGAGAGCCGCUUUCGAGCGAAGAGGAGACGCCGAUUUGGAAGCUGCGGCUUGCCCUCCUACCGCGGCCACGCUUCUACGACAGUAUUUGAAAGAAUUGCCACAAUCAGUUGUACCAUCCACGCUCGUGGCCAGACUAUUGGCCAUUCAUGCUCAGAGUUACUCCAAUGAUCACGACUGCUGGAUCAAUUCGACGAAGGAGGUUCUGUCUUCUCUGCCGCCUUCCCACUAUCGAUUACUCGGUUAUCUGGCUCUUUAUCUGAGCAAAUACGAAGCUCGACAUGGACGUAGUGCCGGCGUUUGCGGCGUGUUUGCACCCGUGAUUCUACCUCACGUUCCACCUGCUACGACGCUUCUUCGCGAUAUUUUGGCCGAUGCAUCUGUACUUUUUCCUGACUGCAUCCGUGAUAACGUGGUGAACGGCGUGAUUCCUGCCAGUGACUGUAAAAUUUGCAAGGACGAAAAGGAGGAACCGAAAGAUUCUGAAGCUGCGUCUCUGCUUUGCGCGCUGAAACCGCGUAAACGCAAGGAACGUCGUGAGUCCUGUUGUCAAGAACGAAAGCUAAUAAGAAGUAGCAGCGAAGAACGCGUUCUUGAAAGUCCAACAGAAACUGCGGACACGAUUAGACGUGUGAGCAGUCACGAGGAUUUUAAUAGCGAAGAACAUUUACACGUUUUGUCUCAGCUCGGACAAGAAAUGGGUCACGGAGUGAGAUGCGGAGGUCUUCCUCUGCACGAAAGAACAAAUGUUUCGCCUGUAUCGAAAAAAAUUCCACCGGUUCCAUCAUCUUGCGAAACGGCUCUGGAAACCGAGAAAUUUGAAUUCGAUGCUGAAAAACUUCGAACCAGCGAACGCUUCAGUCGAAGUAUCACGCCAAGAGGAAGAAGACAAGCUCGAAGAAGAAGAGUACAUAAGACUGCGGACGCUGAAAGUUCGAGCAAAGAAAAUGAAGAAGGACCUGACAACAUUUACACUAUUUCAUCGAGUCCUAAUAGCCGCAACGGUUCUCCAGCUCAAAGUUUUUUGGAAAUGUUGAGCAGUGGACCUAGUCGAUCACCUUCACCCGCUCGUCCACCCACUGUUGAUCACGAAGAUUUAAAUAAUCCUAGUUUAACUAAUUGGUCUUUCCUACGACAAGAAAGUGACGAAGUUGCAGACUCUCGAGUCGAAGCUAUGCUCUCUCCAAGAAAUUCUCUAUUGUUACCUAGACGUUUUUAUUCUGAAAAUGAAAUACAACCAAGUACUCCGAAUAUCGCGGAACUUAGCUUGAAGAACUUAACAAAACAUAUAAACGGUUUGAAGAAAAAGAUCAAAAAAUACGAAGAUGAAUUCGAGGAAAACUUUGGUUAUCGUCCAAGUCAUUCUGAUAAGAUGAGCAAUAGGGAUAUAAAAAGAUUGUGUACAGAGUUGAGUAAGUUGCGAAAGGAACAUAAGCUGUUAAAGGAAGAUCCAGUUAGCGCAUUGUUAGCCAAUGCAAAUAACAGCAGGACGAGUAACGGUAGUCCAACGAAUAAUAAUAAUAGUCAGGAAAAGUCCAGAGCUACGUCGAUGGAGGAAAUGGUGAAAGAAGUGGAAAAGAAACUUAGCGAGAAGAGAUUAAAGUACAACAGACCAGACAACAUGGAAGAACUUACUUACGAACAGUUAAUGGAUGAAAAAACUGCAGUUCAGAAGGCUUUGCUUCAUAUCGAGAAUACUUUCGGCAGACCAGUUUCGAAAGAAGAUAGAGCUGUUGUGCGACCUUUAUACGAUAGAUAUAGAACUUUAAAAAGAUUACUUAUUAGAGCUGGAGUGAACAAAAAUAAGGAUAGUAUUUCAGAAUUAGCUACUAUUUUGGAACACGAAGCGAUGGACUUUACGUCGUCCAAUUUACCUGGUAAUCCGUCUGACACAGAAAGAAGGGCGAGCGAACCGGAUAUGUCGCAUAGAGGUAUUUUGGAUUGUAUAGAUUCGGUAGACCAAUUACCAACCGACAGUGAUAGUCAACACAGCAGUAGCGAAGGAAGUCGCAGUAACAAUGAAAGUCUUCAUGCACUUCCACAAGAGGAAUUAUUGGUGCAACAGAAAUUAACCAGAGAAGAGAAGAAACGUCUACGUCGAGCUUUAAAAGAAUUAGAAGCACAAUUUGAAGCUCGAGCUGGUCGCAGAAUGCAAAGAGAAGAUCGUGGUCCACAGGUCAAUACAGUUUACGAAUCGUAUAAACAGGCUAAAGCAAAGCUUAGACUGAUUGAUGCUCUUGUGGCCAAAAAUGCUUGACGCAGUAUCUAAUUGGUGUAAAAUCUAAUAUGCAACCACGGUAACGACACAAAGAAGCUUCAACAUCCUGAAACGUGUGAAAUAUGCACAGUGAUUAUAUUAUACAAUCGAUAAAUUAUAUUGUAUUCUUGCAAUUGUAACUAAUACUGUUGUGCAAUAAGAAAGAAUGUUUGAGCGUUUCAUUUACGGAAACAGAGAAUGUAAUAUAUACAUACGAUAAUUUGAAUUAAUUCAAGAAUCAAAACGUUUUAAGAGAAGAAGCAAACGAACACUUAUAGCUACAGCAUUUAUCGAAAUCGUACCUGUGUCAACAAUAAUGGCAUGUGUGUUUAUCUGCAGGUAAAGGUAUCUAAUUAACAGAAAUAUGUUUAAAAAAUCAGUCAAUUUUCUUACAAUUCCACUAAAUACGAUUACUGAAAAAUUUCAAGGAACGAUUUCGACUAUCAUAAUUAACGACAUCAUUUUGACAAAAUUUGUCAUUUCGAUGACUUACGAACACACAAAUUUUCAUCGAGUGAUAUCGUAUGAUAAUAAAGAAUAAGAUUACUACACCAAAGUAACACUUUGACCUUUAAGCACUUAUAGUUAGAACAUAACAGUGGCUAUGGCUAUGACGUUACAAAUAUGAAAGCAAUCUGUCGAUUUGCACUUUACUUUCUUCAAAAUACUCAGUGACAUCUUUAAACUACGACAAAAAGAAAACUUUAAUUUGAUAGGAUUCAACACACUACUGCAAAUAUAUGUCUGUUUUUACGAAAAAUUUUAUGUAACAAAAUUAAACAGUGAGUAAGUAAUGCCACUAAUUUAAUCCAUCGAAUUUUCUACGUAUUUUUACCAAUGUCAUGGAACAUUCCGUCAUUUUAUAAUAGAAAUUUUGAAAAUUUACUUCUUCCUACUUUGCAGUAAUUAUACAUAUUUACGUUAUAUUGUAAGCGCAUCGAUUUUUAAAUAUUUUUCUACGUUUGUGUAUUUCUCUGUGUUUGAUGAAGUGCUAAACAGAGAACAACAUAGAAAUCGGAAAAAGUUGUUGCUGAAAAAAUUAUAUCCACAUUUCUUCCUACGAAUCGGGUGAGCAAAUCGUAAUCGAAACAAACAAACAAGACACUCGUGAAUAAGGAACAAUUACAAAUUAAAAUCAUAAAUGAACAAAAGUCUGAUCAUUCAGACAAAUGUAAUAAACACAUAUAUAUUAUGUCUCAUUGUGAACAGAGUUGAAUAUAUGGUGUGUUUAUUUAUACUACUCUAAAUACACUGUCGUACUACUUUCUUUCACAAUAAUAUGACACGAUUUUUCUGGAAAUUGAUAUAUCAGUGAAUCGUUAAUAGAAGAAACGGAUACCCUAGAUUGUAUAUUAUUUCAAAUAAAAUUAAUACAUUCAAUUUAUUAUUUAAGAAUUAUUACCAAAUUGAAUGUUGAGAGUAAAGAACGAAUCUGUGGGGUUAUAUUUGUAAUGUAAGUACCUUGUAAGAGAUAUCACAUGUUAUAAUUGUAGAGUACUAUAAACUGUUACAGUCUUACAGCGUAUUAAACAUAUUCAUUAAAAGCUCGUUGAUUUUUGCGUUUUAUACUUGACGAGUAAAAUUUUAAGGCGACUAGUCUGACGCAAUGUAAGUUUAGAGUAUAUGUAUGUAUAAAUGGUAGCCUUGAAAUUUAACUUGAUGAAGUGUUUCAAUCGAGGGUGCUACAAUUUUCAGUUUUAAAGCAUGUCAAGUGAAAGAAAUGCUUUGUGAAUGUUAUUAUUAUGGAAGUGCGCUAAAGGGGCUCUUUUUUCAGUUCUUUUUUUUUAUAAUCUUGCAAUGCUUAAACUAUAAUAUGGCUCAAGGAUUAUGAAAGAAACAUAUAAAAUGUAUAUGUAUUAAAAUUCUGUAUCGUACAAAAUUUAUCUUAUUGAAUCAAAAUUGAAACGACCCCAAAAUCUGCUGCGCUUAUCUACAUUUCACACACUCGCACGAAGAAAUCAGUUUAUUUAAAUAUUUUAAUUUCACAUUGAUACGUUUGAAAUUCAUUAUCAACGGUAUCUACUAAAUUAGAUUACGCGAAAGAAAAAAGGUACGAUUUUUUAGACCAAAGCAUUUUUUAGUCUGUGAUAUAACAUGAAAGAUAUAUAUGCUGCUUGCGUUAAUAUGGGAGAAUGUGUGUGAGAAACAUUUGAUUCCUAAUUUUUUGCCUUUUUUGCUCUACAGAAAGCAAUGAACAUGAAUGAACCAUUUAAAGGAUGCUAAAAAUAUUGGUAAUUCAAGUUGCGAUAUAUCUUAAUAAUACGAAAGAAAGUAAGCUGAAAUAGAUAAUUUCAAAGAAUUUGGUAUUUAUUUAAACAUUAAAUUUUAUACAAAUCUAGAAAUUCUUAGUAAACCGAAAGCAAUAAAAAGAUAUGUUGUCAAUUUCCUUUCGUGAAAUUAGUCCAAUUAUAUUUUUGUCAUAUUUUUACAAAACUGUUGCUGAAAAAGGAUUCAUUUCAUAUUUAUUAUCAGAAGUAUUUUAUUUUUACGAAUUUUGUGCGUGCGGAUAAUGAUCAAUGAUAAAAUGGAUACUGGUUUAGAGUUAAAGUAACAAUUUAUAUUAACGUUAUUCGAGAUACAUUUUGUAGAUUGUAGAAAAUAACGUAUCUUUGCGAGUAUAAAAGGGAAACGCGUGAUUCUGUGUAGUUGCUUAAGAGAAAAAUGUUUUUGCCACUAUGAAUUUCAAAAUCCGUAUCUAUUUGAGAAUGAACUACGAUUAAGAGUAAUCAUAUUUUAAUUCGUUCAAGAAUAUGUAGGCCUCCACUAUAUUAUAUAUUAGAUCGACCAUGAUUUCUUCUAUUGUAUCUAGACUAGACAGUACUGUUAAAAUUAAAAAAAAAAAAA
rnacentral:misc_RNA from 1 species